AUGAACGCUGGCGGCGUGCUUAACACCUGCCAGUCGAACGAUGAAGCCCAGCUUGCUGGGUGGAUUAGUGGCGAACGGGUGAGUAACACGUGAGUAACCUGCCCUUGACUCUGGGAUAAGCCUGGGAAACUGGGUCUAAUACUGGAUAUGACUUCUCAUCGCAUGGUGGGGGGUGGAAAGAUUUAUUGGUCUUGGAUGGACUCGCGGCCUAUCAGCUUGUUGGUGAGGUAAUGGCUCACCAAGGCGACGACGGGUAGCCGGCCUGAGAGGGUGACCGGCCACACUGGGACUGAGACACGGCCCAGACUCCUACGGGAGGCAGCAGUGGGGAAUAUUGCACAAUGGGCGCAAGCCUGAUGCAGCGACGCCGCGUGAGGGAUGACGGCCUUCGGGUUGUAAACCUCUUUCAGUAGGGAAGAAGCGAGAGUGACGGUACCUGCAGAAGAAGCGCCGGCUAACUACGUG
rnacentral:rRNA from 1 species